GCUAAAUUUUGUAUAUUAUUAUCAAGAAAUGAGAAGCUUGAUAGUGUUAUUAGUCUUCUUGUUUUGCUAAAUUUUGUAUAUUAUUAUCAAGAAAUGAGAAGGUUGAUAGUGUUAUUAGUGUUCUUGUUUUGCUAAAUUUUGUAAAGAGAGAGAUUAACUCUAUUAUGUGAGUGUAUUCUUGCCUCGUUUUUUUCUUGAGCAAUAUCUAUCUGUAUAUUGUAUCCAAGAAAUGAGAAAGAUUGAUAGUGUUUAUUGUGUUCUUGUUUGCUAAAUUUUAUAUAUUUGUUAUCAAAGAAAUGAGAAGAUUGAUAGUGUUAUUAGGUUCUUGUUUUGCUAAAUUUGUAUAUUGUUAUCAGAAAUGAGAAGAUUGAAGUGUUAUUAGUGUUUUUUGUUUUGAAAUUUUGUAUAUUGUUAUCAAGAAAUGAGAAGAUUGAUAGUGUUAUUAGUGUUCUUGUUUUGCUAAAUUUUUUAUAUUGUUAUCAGAAAGAGAAGAUUGAUAGUGUUAUUAGUGUUCUUGUUUUGCUAAUUUUUGUAUAUUGUUAUCAAGAAAUGAGAAGAUUGAUAGUGUUAUUAGUGUUCUUGUUUUGUAAAUUUUGUAUAUUGUUAUCAAGAAAUGAGAAAUUGAUAGUGUUAUUAGUGUUCUUGUUAUCAAGAAAUGUUUGACGCUGACCCUUUAAGAAUCUCUCAAAAAUGAAAGGCAUUGCAUGGGAAUUCUCCAUGGCUUUUUGUUCAGUCAAAUAAGGAUAUGGAAGAUCACAACAGUGAUGUAAGUCAUGACGCCUGUUCUUUUGAAUUUAUGAUGGCUUCAAAGGCCACACCACUGCUUCCUAUAUCGUACGCACAUCUUUAGGACUCUUUUACGUGAGUUAUUUUUUGCUUCUUUUUUCUUAGCAUACUAAUCUGUGUAUAUUGUUAUCAAGAAAUGAGAAGAUUGAUAGUGUUAUUAGUGUUCUUGUUUUGCUAAAUUUUGUAUAUGUUAUGCAAAGAAAUGAGAAGAUUGAUAGUGUUAUUAGUGUUCUUGUUUGCAAAAUUUGUAUAUUGUUAUCAAGAAAUGAAAAGAUUGAUAGUGUAUAGUGUUCUUGUUUGCUAAAUUUUGUAUAUUGUUAUCAGAAAUGAGAAGAUUGAUAUGUUUUAUUAGUGUUCUUGUUUUGCUAAUUUUGUAUAUUGUUAUCAAGAAAUGAGAAGAUUGAUAGUGUUAUUAGUGUUCUGUUUUGCUAUUUUGAAUAUUGUAUCAAGAAAUGAGAAGAUUGAAAGUGUUAUAGUGUUCUUGUUUGCUAAAUUUUGUAUUUUUAUCAAGAAAUGAGAAGAUUGAUAGUGUUAUUUGUGUUUUUGUUUUGCUAAAUUUUGUAUAUUGUUAUCAAGAAAUGAAGAUUGAUAGUGUUAUUAGUGUCUUGUUUUGCUAAAUUUUGUAUAUUGUUAUCAAGAAAUAGGAAGGUUGAUAGUGUUAUUAGUGUUUCUUGUUUGCUAAUUUUGUAUAUUGUUAUCAAGAAAUGAGAAGAUUGAUAGUGUUAUUAGUGUUCUUGUUAUCAAGAAACGUUUUGACGCUGACCCUUUAGCAAAAUCUCUCAAAAUGAAAGGCAUUGCCAUGGGGAAUUCUCCAUGGCUUUUAUUCAGUCAAAUAAGGAUAUGGAAGAUCACAACCAAGUCGAUGUAAGCCAUGCCGCACUGUUCGUUUGAAUUUAUGAUGGCUCAAAGGCCACACCACUGCUUCCUAUAUCGUACGCACAUCUUUAGACUCUAUUAUGUGAGUUAUUUCUUUGCUCUUUUUCUUAGCAUACUAUCUGUAUAUUUUUCAAGAAAUGAGAAGAUUGAUAGUGUUAUUGUGUUCUUGUUUUGCUAAAUUUUUUGUUAUUUAUCAAGAAAUGAGAGAUUGAUAGUGUUAUUAGGUUCUUGUUUUGCUAAAUUUUGUAUAUUGUUAUCAAGAAAUGAGAAGAUUGAGUGUUAUUAGUGUUUUUUGUUUUGUAAAUUUGUAUAUUGUUAUCAAGAUGAGAAGAUUGAUAGUGUUAUUAGUGUUCUUGUUUUGCUAAAUUUUGUAUAUUGUUAUCAAGAAAGAGAAGAUUGAUAGUGUUAUUAGUGUUCUUGUUUUCUAAAUUUUGUAUAUUGUUAUCAAGAAAUGAGAAGAUUGAUAGUGUUAUUAGUGUUCUUGUUUUGAUAAAUUUUGUAUAUUGUUAUCAAGAAAUGAGAAAUAUUGAUAGUGUUAUUAGUGUUCUUGUUAUCAAGAAACGUUUGACGCUGACUCCUUUAGCAAAAAUCUCUCAAAAUGAAAGGCAUUGCCAUGGGGAAUUCUCCAUGGCUUCUGUUCAGUCAAAUAAGGAUAUGGAAGAUCACAACCAAGUCGAUGUAAGUCAUGACGCACUGUUCUUUAAUUUAUGAUGGCUUCAAAGCCACACCACUGCUUCCUAUAUUCGUACGCACAUCUUUAGGAUUUUAUUACGUGAGUUAUUUCUUUGCUUCUUUUUUCUUAGCAUACUAAUCUGUAUAUUGUUAUCAAGAAAUGAGAAGAUUGAUAGUGUUAUAGUGUUCUUGUUUUGCUAAAUUUGUAUAUUGUUAUCAGAAUAAUGGAAGAUUGAUAGUGUUAUUAGUGUUCUUGUUUUGCUAAAUUUUUGUAUAUUGUUAUCAAGAAAUGAGAAGAUUGAUAGUGUAUUAGUGUUCUUGUUUUGCUAAUUUUUUGAUAUGUAUCAAGAAAUGAGAAGAUUGAUAGUGUUUAUAGUGUUCUUGUUUGCUAAAUUUUGAUAUUGUUAUCAAGAAAUGAGAAGAUUGAUAGUGUUAUUGUGUUUUGUUUGCUUAAAUUUUGUAUAUUGUUAUCAAGAAAUGAGAAGAUUGAUAGUGUAUUAGUUGUCUUUUUGCUAAAUUUUGUAUAUUGUUAUCAAGAAAUAGAAGUUGAUAGUGUUAUUAGUGUUCUUGUUUGCUAAUUUUGUAUAUUGUUAUCAAGAAAUGAGAAGAUUGAUAGUGUAUAGUGUUAUUAGUNNNNNNNNNNUAGUUAUUGUAUGCAAAAAUGAGAAGAUUGAUAGUGUUAUUAGUUUUCUUGUUUUGUAAAUUUUGUAUAUUGUUAUCAAGAUGAGAAGAUUGAUAGUGUUAUUAGUGUUCUUGUUUUGCUAAAUUUUGUAUAUUGUUAUAAGAGAGAAGAUUGAUAGUGUUAUUAGUGUUUUAUGAUAGUGUUAUUAGUGUUCUUGUUAUCAAGAAACGUUUGACGCUGACCCUUUAGCAAAUUCUCUCAAAAAUGAAAGGCAUUGCCAUGGGGAAUUCUCCAUGGCUUCUAUUCAGUCAAAUAAGGAUGUGGAAGAUCACAACCAAGUCGAUGUAUGUCAUGACGCACUGUUCAUUUGAAUUUGUGAUGGCUUCAAAGGCCACACCACUACUUCCUAUAUUCGUACGCACAUCUUUAGGACUCUAUUACGUGAGUUAUUUCUUUGCUUCUUUUUUCUUAGCAUACUACUAUGUAUAUUGUUAUCAAGAAAUGAGAAGAUUGAUAGUGUUAUUAGUGUUCUUGUUUUGCUAAAUUUUGUAUGUUGUUAUCAAAAAAUAAGAAGAUUGAUAGGGUUAUUAGUGUUCUUGUUUUGCUAAAUUUUGUAUAUUGUUAUCAAGAAAUAAGAAGAUUGAUAGUGUUAUUAGUGUUCUUGUUUUGCUAAAUAUUGUAUAUUGUUAUCAAGAAAUGAGAAGCUUGAUAGUGUUAUUAGUCGUCUUGUUUUGCUAAAUUUUGUAUAUUAUUAUCAAGAAAUGAGUAGAUUGAUAGUGUAUUAGUGUUCUUGUUUUGCUAAAUUUGUAUAUGUUAUCAAGAAAUGAGAAGAUUGAUAUGUUAUUAGUGUUCUUGUUUUGCUAAAUUUGUAUAUUGUUAUCAAGAAAUGAGAAGAUUGAUAGUGUUUAUUAGUGUUCUUGUUUUGCUAAUUGUAUAUUGUUAUCGAAGAUGAAAGAUUGAUAUGUUAUUAGUGUUCUUGUUUUGCUAAAUUUUGUAUAUUGUUAUCAAGAAAUGAGAAAGAUUGAUAGUGUUAUUAGUGUUCUUGUUUGCUAAAUUUUGUAUAUUGUUAUCAAGAAAUGAGAAGAUUGAUAGUGUUAUUAGUGUUCUUGUUUUGCUAAAUUUGUUAUAUGUUAUCAAGAAAUGAGAAGAGUAUAGUGUUAUUAGUGUUCUUGUUUGCUAAAUUUUGUAUAUUGUUUCAAGAAAUAGAAGAUUGAUAGUGUAUUAUGUUCUUGUUUUGCUAAAUUUUGUAUAUUGUUAUCAAGAAAUGAGAAGAUUGAUAGUGUUAUUAGUGUUCUGUUUUUGCUAAUAUUGUAUAUUGUUAUCAAGAAAUGAGAGAAGAUUGAUAGUGUUAUUAGUUUCUGUUUUGCUAAAUUUUGUAUAUUGUUAUCAAAGAAUGAGAAGAUUGAUAGUUUAUAUGUUCUUGUUUUGCUAAAAUUUGUAUAUUGUUAUCAAGAAAUGAGAAAGAUUGAUAGUGUUAUUGUGUUCUUUUUUUCUAAAUUUUGUAUAUUUUUAUCAGAAAUGAGAAGAUGAUAGGUUAUUAUGUUCUGUUUUGCUAAAUUUGUAUAUUAUACAAGAAAUGAGAGAUUGUAGUGUAUUAGUGUUCUUGUUUUCUAAAUUUUGUAUAUUGUAUCAAGAAAUGAGAAGAUUGAUAGUGUUAUUAGUGUUCUUGUUUUGCAAAAUUUGUAUAUGUUAUCAAGAAAUGAGAGGAUUGAUAGUGUUAUUAGUGUUCUUUUUGCUAAAUUUUGUAUAUUUAUACAGAAAUGAGAAGAUUGAUAGUGUUAUUAGUGUUCUUGUUUUGCUAAAUUUUGUAUAUUGUUAUCAAGAAAUGAGAAGAUUGAUAGUGUUAUUAGUGUUUUGUUUUGCUAAAUUUUGAUAUUGUUAUCAAGAAAUAGAAAGAUUGAUAGUGUUAUUAGUGUUCUUGUUUUGCUAAAUUUGUAUAUUGUUAUCAAAAUGAGAAGAUUGAUAGUGUUAUUAGUGUUUUGUUUUGCUAAAUUUUAUAUUGUUAUCAAGAAAUGAGAAGAUUGAUAGGUUAUUAGGUUUCGUUUUGCUAAAUUUUGUAUAUGUUAUCAAGAAAUGAGAAGAUUGAUAGGGUUAUUAUGUUCUUUUGUUUUGCUAAAUUUUGUAUAUUUAUCAAGAAAUAAGAAGAUUGAUAGUGUUAUUAGUGUUCUUGUUUUGCUAAAUUUUGUAUAUUGUUAUCAAGAAAUGAGAAGUUUGAUAGUGUUAUUAGUGUCUUGUUUUGCUAAAUUUGUAUAUUUUAUCAAGAAAUGAGAAGUUGAUAGUGUUAUUAGUGUUCUUGUUUUGUAAAUUUGUAUAUGUUAUCAAGAAAUGAGAAGAUUGAUAGUGUUAUUAGUGUUCUUGUUUUGCUAAAAUUUGUAUAUGUUAUCAGAAAUGAGAAGAUUGAUAUUGUUAUUAGUGUUCUUGUUUUGCUAAAUUUGUAUAUUGUUAUCAAGAAAUGAGAAGAUUGAUAGUGUUAUUAGUGUUCUUGUUUGCUAAAUUUUGUAUAUUGUUAUCAAGAAAUGAGAAGAUUGAUAGUGUUAUUAGUGUUCUUGUUUUGCUAAAUUUUGUUUAUUGUUUAUCAAGAAAUGAGAAGAUUGAUAGUGUUAUUAGUGUUCUUGUUUUGCUAAAUUUUAUAUUGUUAUCAAGAAAUAGAAGAUUGAUAGUGAUUAGUGUUUUUUUUGCUAAAUUUUGUAUAUUGUUAUCAAGAAAUGAGAAGAUUGAUAGUGUUAUUAGUGUUCUGUUUUUCUAAAUUUUAUAUUGUUAUCAAGAAAUGAGAAGAUUGAUAGUGUUAUUAGUUCUUGUUUUGCUAAAUUUUGUAUAUUGUUAUCAAGAAAUGAGAAGAUUGAUAGUUAUUAGUGUUCUUGUUUUGCUAAAUUUUGUAUAUUGUUAUCAAGAAAUGAGAAGAUUGAUAGUGUUAUUAGUGUUCUUUUUUCUAAAUUUUGUAUAUUUUAUCAGAAAAGAGAAGAUUGAUAGUGUUAUUAUGUUCUUGUUUUGUAAAUUGUAUAUUUUAUCAAGAAAUGAGAAGAUUGAUAGUGUUAUUAGUGUUCUUGUUUUCUAAAUUUGUAUAUUGUUAUCAAGAAAUGAGAAGAUUGAAUAUGUUAUUAGUUCUUGUUUGCAAAAUUUGUAUAUUGUUAUCAAGAAAUGAGAGAUUGAUAUGUUAUUAUGUUCUUUUUUGCAAAUUUGUAUAUUAACAAGAACAUGAGAAGAUUGAUAGUGUUAUUAGUGUUCUUGUUUUGCUAAAUUAUGUAUAUUGUUAUCAAGAAAUGAGAAGAUUGAUAUUGUUAUUAGUGUUCUUGUUUUGCUAAAUUUUAUAAAUUGUUAUCAAGAAAUGAGAAGAUUGAUAGUGUUAUUAGUGUUCUUGUUUAUGUAUAUUGUUAUCAAGAAAUAAGAAGAUUGAUAUUGUUAUUAGUGUUCUUGUUUUGCUAAAUUUUGUAUAUUGUUAUCAAGAAACGAGAAGAAUGAUUGUUUUAUUAGUCUUCUUGUUUUGCUAAAUUUUGUAUAUUGUUAUCAAGAAAUGAGAAGAUUAAUAGGGUUAUUAGUGCUCUUGUUUUGCAAAAUUUUGUAUAUUGUUAUCAAGAAAUGAGAAGAUUGAUAGUGUUAUUAGUGUUCUAGUUUUGCUAAAUUUUGUAUAUUUUUAUCAAGUAAUGAGAAGGUUGAUAGUGUUAUUAGUGUUCUUGUUUUGCUAAAUAUUGUAUAUUGUUAUCAAGAAAUGAGAAGAUUGAUAAUGUUAUUAGUGUUCUUGUUAUCAAGAAACGUUUGACGCUGACCCUUUAGCAAAAUCUCUCAAACAUGAAAGGCAUUGCCAUGGGGAAUUCUCCAUGGCUUCUAUUCAGUCAAAUAAGGAUAUGGAAUAUCACAACAAAGUCGAUGUAAGUCAUGAUGCACUGUUCGUUUGAAUUUAUGAUGGCUUCAAAGGCCACACCACAGCUUCCUAUAUUCGUACGCACAUUAUUAGGACUCUAUUACGUGAGUUAUUUCUUUGCUUCUUUUUUCUUAGCAUACUAAUAUGUAUAUUGUUAUCAAGAAAUGAGAAGAUUGAUAGUGUUAUUAGUGUUCUUGUUUUGCUAAAUUUUGUAUAAAGACCCGAAAUAUUAGAAGAACUCUGAUGAGGAUUCGAUUAGCUUUCUGUGGUUUAUGCUAAAAUUUUUUAUAUUGUUAUCCAAGAAAUGAAAAGAUUGAUAGUGUUAUUAAGUGUUCCUUGUUAUGAAAUUUUUAUAUUGGUUAUCAAAGAAUUGAGAAGAUUGAUAGUGUUAAUUUAUGUUGUUCUUGUUUGCCCUAAAAUUUGUAAUAAGUGUUAUCAAGAAAGGUAAGAUUGAUAGUGUUAAGUGUACUUUGCGUUUUGCGAAACUACUUGUAUGUCGUUGACUAUCCAGAAGUAAGUUGGGGAUAGAUAAAGAUUGAUAGUGCCCCUAUUAGUCGUUUUUGUUUUGCCUAAAUUUUGUAUAUUGUUAAACAAGAAAUGAGGAAAAGAUUGAUGAGAGCACACGCUAGUUUUUUAGUGAUUCUUGUUUUUGCUAAAUUUGUAUAUGGUUAAUCAAAUUGUAGAAGAUUGAUAGUGUUAUUAGUGUUCUUAGUUUUAGCUUAAAAUUUGGUACUAUUGUAUGAAGUAUAAUUGAGAAGAUGGGAUAGUGUAUAUUAGUUUUUCUUAGGGAGUUUUGCCCUAAAUUUUUUUAUGUAUUGCUUAAAACAAACACUUAGAAAUUCGAAUCUGUUAUUAGUUGUUCUUGUUUUGCUAAUUUUUUAUAUUAGUAUAUCACAGAAAUGGAAAAAGAUUGAUAGUGUUAUUAGUGUACUUCUUGUUAUGCUAAAUUUUGCUAUAAAUUGUUAUCAGAAAAUGAGAAGAUUGAUAGUGUUAUUAGUGUCUUGUUUUGCUAAUUUUGUAUAUUCUGUUAUCAAGAAAUGAGAAGAUUGAUAGUGUUAUUAGUGUUCUUGUUUUGUCUAAAUUUUGUAUAUUGUUAUCAAGAAAUGAGAAGAUUGAUAGUGUUAUUUAGUGUUCUUUUUUUUGCUAAAUUUUGUAUAUUGUUAUACAAGAAAUGAGAAGAUUGAUAGUUUAUUAGUGUUCUUGUUUGCUAAAUUUUGUAUAUGUUAUCAAGAAAAUGAGAAGAUGAUAGAUGUUAUUAUGUUCUUGUUUUGCUCUAAAUUUUGUAUAUUCUUAUCAAGAAAUGAGAAAUUGAUAGUGUUAUUAGGUGUUCUGUUUUGCUAAAUUUGUAUAUUUGUUAUCAAGAAAAUGAGGAGAUCAGUAGAGAUUGAGUGCUUAUUAAGUGUGUUGUUUUGCUAAAUUUUGUAUAUUAUUCCAAGAAAGGAGAAGAUGGAUAGUGUUAUUAGUGUUCUUGUUUGCUAAUUCUGUAUUUGUUAUGCAAGAACGAUGAAAGCAUUGAUAGUGUUAUUAGUGUUCUUUGCUAAAUUUUGUGAAUUGUUAUCAGAAAUGAGAAGAUGAUUGAUAGUAGUUAUUAGUGUUCUUGUUUGGCUAAAUUUUGUAUUAUUGUUAUCAAGAAAUGAGAAGUUGAUAGUGUUAUUAGUGUUCUUGUUUUGCUAAAUUUUGUAUAUUGUUAUAAGAAAUGGAGAAGUGAUAGUGUUAUUUAGUGUUCUUGUUUGCUAAUUUUUGUAAUUUAUAUCAAGAAAUGAGAAGACUUGAUAGUGUUUUAGUGUCUUGUUUGCUAAAUUUUGUAUAUUUUAUCAAGAAAUGAGAAGAUUGAUAGUGUUAUUAGUGUUCUUGUUUUGCUAAAUUUUGUAUAUUGUUAUCAAGAAUGAGAAGAUUGAUAGUGUUGUUAUUGUUCUUGUUUGCUAAAUUUUUGUUAUAUUUACAAGAAAAUGAGAAGAGAUGAUAGUGUAUAUUAGUAGUUCUAUUGUGUUUGGCUAAAUUUUGUGUAUAGAAUUUGUGUAAACAAAGAAUAUAGAAGAUUGAUAUAGUGUCUAUUAGUGUUCUUCUUGUUUUUGGCUAAUGUUGUAUAUGUUGCAAAAAGAAAGGAGAAGAUGAUAAGGUGUUAUUACGUGUUCUUUGUUUUUGCUAAAUUUGUAUAUUGUUUCAAGAAAUGAGAAGUUGAUAGCUGUGUAUUAGUGUUUUUGUUUUUGCUAAAUUUUUGUAUAUUGUUAUCAAACAGUGAGAAGAUUGAUAGUGUUAUUAGUGUUUCUUGUUUUUGCUAAAUUUGUUAUAUUGUUAUCAAGAACAUGAGAAGAUUGAAUAGUGUUUUAGUGUUCUUGUUUUGCUAAAUUUUGUAUAUUGUUAUCAAGAAAUGGAGAAGAUUGAUAGUGUUUAGUGGUUCCUUGUUUUGCUAAAUUUUUGUAUAUUGUUAUCAAGAAAUGAGAAGAUUGAUAGUGUUAUUAGUGUUCUUGUUUUGCUAAAUUUUGUAUAUUUGUAUCAAAAAAUGAGAAGAUAUUGAUAGUGAUUAUUAGAAGUGUUCUUGUUUUGGCUAAUAUUUUGUAUUGGAUUUAUCAAGAAAUGAGAAGAUUGAUAGUGUUAUUUAGUGUUUUGGUAUUGCUAAAUUUUGUAUAUUGUUUGUCAAGAAAUGAGAAGAUUGAUAAUGUGUAUUAGUGUGUCUUGUUAGUCUGGGCAGCAAUUUGUAUAUAUUGUUAUACAAAGAAAUGGCAGAGUUGAUGCUAGUUGAUUUAUUAGUGUUUCUUGUUUUGCUAAUUUUUGUAUAUUGGUUUGCAAGAAAGAUGAAGGAUUGAUAGUCUUAUUGUGUGUGCUUGGUUUUGCAGUAAAUGGCGUUAUACGCUUGCCUUUACAAGACCCUAAAAUGAAGAGGAGUCUGCAUAGUGGAUAGUUCUUCGUAUGGGCUUACUAUUGUAAGAAUGCAGCAAAUGAUUAGUGUUAUAGUUGUUGUUUAAAAUUUGUAUAGUGCUACCAAGAAAUGAAGAUAGAAACGCAUAGUUAGCUGUUCUUUUUGCAUUGUGUAUGAUUGGCUUAACGCCAAGCAUAUGCAAUCGACAGGAUUUUAAGUUAUAAGUGUUAUUUUAGUGUUUUGCAUCUUUUCGUAAAUUUUGUAUAUUGUUAUCAAGAAAUGAGAAGAUUGAUUAUGUUAUUAGUGUUCUUGUUUGCUAAAUUUUUGUAUAUUUGUUUACAAGAAAUGAGAGAUUGAUAGUGUUAUUAGAUGUUCUUGUUUUGCUAAAUUUUGUAUAUUGUUAUGCAAGAAUAGAAAGAUUGAAGUCUGUUAUUAGUGUCUUGUUUUGUCCUAAAUUUGUAUAUUGUUAUCAAGAAAUGAGAAGUCUGAUAGUGUUAUUAGUGUCUUCGUUUUCCCUAAAUUUGUAUAUUGUUAUCAGAAUGAGAGAUUGAUAGGUUAUUAGUGUUCUUGAUUUUGCUAAAUUUUGUAUAUGGGUUAUCAAGAAAUGAAGAUUUGAUUAGUGUUUAUUAGUUUCUUGUUUUGCUAAUUUGUAUAUUGUUAUCAAGAAUGAGAAGAUUGAAUAGUGUUAUUAGUGUUCCUUGUUUUGCUAAAUUUGUUAUAUUGUUAUCAAGAAAUAGAAGAAGAUUGAUAGUGUUUAUUAGUGUUUUUUGUUGCUAAAUGUUUGUAUAUUGUUAUCAAAAAUGAGAAGAAUUGAUGAGUUUUAGUGUUCUGUUUUGCUAAAUUUUGAUAUUGUAUAUCAAGAUAUGAGAAGAUUGAUAGUGUUAUUAGUCGCAUUUUGUCUUUGCCAUAAAUUUUGUAUAUUUUUCGACUCUUUUGGAUUACUAGUGAGUUAUUUGCUUUUCUUUUUUCUGGCAUAAUAAUUUGUGUAUUUGUUAUGUCAGAAAUGAGAAGCUGAAUAGUGAUUAUUAGUGUUCUUGUUUUGCCCCUAAAUUUUUGUAUAAUUGUUAUCAAGAAACUGAGAAGAUUGAUAGUGUUUGAUUAGUGUUCUUUUUUGUUGUCUAAUUUUGUAUAUUGUUAUCAAAGAAAUGAGAAGAUUGAUAUGUGUUAUUAAGUGUUUCUUGUUUUGCUAAAUUUUGUAUUUGUUAUCAAGAAAUGUAUUAAGAUUGAUAUAUGUUAAUUCAGUGUUCUUAGUUAGCACUUAAAUUUUGAUAUAAUGUAUAUCAAGAUAAUAUGAGAUAGAUAGUGUUAUUUAGUGUUCUGUUUAGGGCUUAAAUUUUUGUAUAUUGUUAUUAAGUAAAUGGAGGAAGAUCGAUUUGUGUAUUAUUAUGAUUCUUGUUUAUUGCUAAUUUUGUCAAUUGUAUGCCAGGAAAGGAAGAAGAUGAUAGUGUUAUUGUGUCCUGUUUGCUUCACUUGUGUAAUAUUGUUUCGCUCCAGAAUGAGAAGAUUGAUAGUGUUUAUAGUGUUCUUUUAUGUUUUCUAACAUUUGUAUAUUGUUUUUCAAGAAAUGAGAAGAUGAUGAUAGUGUUUAUUAGCUGUUCUUGGGUUUUGCUAAUAUUUUGUAUAGGCUUGUAUCAAAAGAGACUUGUUUCGACAAGAUAUAAUCAGUGUUUUUUUUAUUUUGUGUUCUUGUUUUGCUAAAUUUUGUAUACUUGUUAUCAAAGAAAUGAGAAGUGAAGAUGUUAAUUAGUGUUCUUGUUUUACUAAUUUAUUGUAUAUUUGUUAUCAAGAUAAUGAGAAGAUUGAUAGUUGUUAUUUAGUGUUUCUUGUUUUGCUAAAUUUUGUAUAUUGUUAUCAAGAGAAUGCAGAAAAGAUUGAUAGUGUUAUUAGUGUUCUUGUUUUGCCUAAAAAUUAAUUGUUUAUCAAGAAAUGAGAAGAAUUGAUAGUGUUAUUAGUGUUCUGUUUGCUAAAUUUGUAAUAUUGUUACAGAAAUGCGAAGAUUGAUAGUGUUAUUUAGUGUUCUUGUUUUGCUAAAUUUUGUAUGAUUAUAUCAAGAAAUGAGAAGGUUGAUAGUGUUAUUAGUGUUCUUGUUUUGCUUAAUUUUGUUAUAUUGUUAUUCAAGAAAUGAGAAGAUGAUAGUGUUAUUAGUGUGUUUCUUGUUACAAGAAACUUUGAACGCUGACCCUUUAAAAAUUCUCUCAAAAAAUGAAAAGGCAUUGCCAUGGGGAAUUCUCCAUGGCUUCUGUUCAGUCAAAUAAGGAUAUGGAAGAUCACAACAGGAAAUGUAAGUUCAUGACGCACUGUUUUUUAGAAUUAUGAUGGUUCAAAGGCCACACACUCGCUUCCUAUAUAUCCGUAACGCACAUCUUUAGGAUCUUAUUACGUGAAUUAUUUUUUUGCCUUCUUUUUUCUUAGCAUCUUACCUGUAAUUCUAUAUAUAUGACAUGCCUGAAAGGAUUGAAGGUGUUAUUAGGUUCUUGUUUUCUAAAUUUUGUAUAUUGUGUUUAUCAAGAAAUGAGAAGAUUGAUAGGUGGUUAUUAGUGUUCUUUGUUUUGCUAAAUUUUGUAUAUUGUUUAAUCAGAAAUGAGAAGAUCGAUAGUGUUAUUAAGUGUUUUUGUUUUGCUAAAUUUUGUUAUAUUGCUUAUCAAGAAAUAGAAGAUGAUAGUUUUUAUUAGUGUUCUUGUUUUGCUAAAUUUUUUUAUAUUGUUUCAAGAAAUGAAGAUGAUUGAUAGUGUUAUUAGUGUUCUUGUUUGCUAAAUUUUGUAUAUUGUUUUAUCAAGAAAUGAGAAGAUUUGAUAGUGUAUUAGUGUUCUUGUUUGCUAAAUUAUGUAUAUUGUUAUCAAGAAAUAGAAGAUUGAUAUGUUAUAGUGUUCUUGUUUUGCUAAUAUUUUGUAUAUUGUUAUCAAGAAAUGAGAAGAUUGAUAGUUUAUAUAAGUGUUUUUUGUUUUGCUAAAUUUGUAUAUUGUUACAUAGAAAUGAGAAGAUUGAUAGUGUUAUUUAGUGUUCUUGUUUUGCUAAAUUUUUGUAUAUUGUUAUCAAGAAAUGAGAAGAUGAUAGUGUUAUAGUGUUCUUGUUUUGCUAAAUUUUGUAUAUUUUAUCAAGAAAUGAGAAGAUUGAAGUGUUAUUAGUGUUCUUGUUUUGGCUAAAAUUUUGUAUAUUGUUUACUCAAGAAAUGAGAAGAUAUGAUUGUGUUAUUAGUUCUUGUUUUGCUAUUUUGUUAUUAUUAUCAAGAAAGGUAGAGAUUGAUAGUUGUAUUAGUUUCUUGUUUUGCUAAAUUGUGUAUAUUGUUAUCAAGAAAUGAGAAGAUUGAUAGGUUAUUGUGUUCUUGUUUGCUAAAUUUUGUAAUUGUUAUCGAAGAAAUGAUAGAGAAGAUUGAUAGUGUUAUUAGUGUUCUUUUUUGCAAUUUUGUAUUAUGUUAUCAAGAAAUGAGAGAUUGAUAGUGUUAUUAGUGUUCUUGUUUGCUAAAUUUUGUAUAUUGUUAUCAAGAAAUAGAAGGUGUAGUGUUAUUUAGUGUUCUUGUUUUGCUAAUUUUGUAUAUUUUAUCAAGAAAUGAGAAGAUUGAUAGUGUUAUUAUAAGUUCUUGUUUUGCUAAAUUUUAGUAUAUAUUUUAUCAGAAAUGAGAAGAUUGAUAGUGUAUAUUAGUGUUCUUGUUUUCUAAAUUUAUGAUUAUAUUGUUUCAAGAAUUGAGAAGAUUGAUAUGUAUUAGUGUUCUUGUUUGCUAAAUUUUGUAUAUGUUAUCAAGAAAUGAGAAGAUUGAUAGUGUUAUUAGUGUUCUUGUUUUGCUAAAUUUGUAUAUGUUUCAAGAAAUGAGAAGAUUGAUAAUGUUAUUAGUUGUUCUGUUUUCUAAAUUUUUGUAUAUUUUAUCAAGAAAUAGAGAUUGAUAGUGUUUUGUUGUUCUUGUUUUGCUAAAUUUUGUAUAUUGUUAUCAGAAUGAGAAGAUUGAUAGUGUUAUUAGUGUUCUUGUUUUGCUAAAUUUGUAUUAUUGUUAUCAAGAAAUGAGAAGAUUGAUAGUGUUAUUAGUGUUCUUGUUUUGCUAAAUUUUGUAUAUUGUUAUCAAGAAUGAGAGAUGAUAGUAUGUUAUUAGUGUUCUUGUUUGCUAAAUUUUUGUAUAUUUUUAUCAAGAAAUGAGAAGAUUGAUAGUGUUAUUAGUGUUCUUGUUUUGCUAAUUUUUGUAUAUUGUUCAGAAAUGAGAAGAUUGAUAGUGUUAUUAGUGUUCUUGUUUUGCUAAAUUUUGUAUUGUUAUCAAGAAAUGAGAAGAUUGAUAGUUGUUUUUAGUGUUCUUGUUUGCUAAAUUUGUAUAUUGUUUCAGAAAUGAGAAGAUUGAUAGUGUUAUUAGUGUUUUGUUUUGCUAAAAUUUUGUAUAUUGUUAUCAAGAAAUGAGAAGAUUGAUAUGUAAUUAGUGUCUUGUUUGCUAAAUUUUGUAUAUUCGUUAUCGAAAAUGAGAAGAUUGAUAGUGUUAUUAGUGUUUCUUGUUUUGCUAAAUUUUGUAUAUUGUUAUCAAGAAUGAGAAGAUUGAUAGUGUUAUUAGUGUUCUUGUUUGCUAAAUUUUGUAUAUUGUUUAUCAAGAAAUGAGAAGAUUGAUAGUGUUAUUAGUGUUCUUGUUUGCUAAAUUUUGUAUAUUUUUUCAAGAAAUGAGAAGAUUGAUAGUGUUAUUAGUGUUCUUGUUUGUAAUUUUGUAUAUUGUUACAAAGAAAUGAGAAGAUUGAUAGUGUUAUUAGUGUUUCUUGUUUUGCUAAAUUUUGUAUAUUGUUUAAGAAAUGAGAAGAUUGAUAGUGUUAUUAGUGUUCUUGUUUUGCUAAAUUUUGUAUAUGUUAUCAAGAAAUAGAAGAAGGAUAGUGUUUAUUACGUGUUCUUGGUUUAGUAAACUUUGUGUAUAUUCUGGUUAUUAGAAAUGAAAGAUGAUUGUGUGUAUUAGUGUUCUUGGUUUUGCUAUUUGUAUAUAUGUUGGCAAGAAAGUGAGAAGAUCGAUAGGUGCUUAUUAAGUCGUUUCUUGUUUUCUAAUUUGAUAUUAGUUCUCAAGAAAAUGCAAAGAUUGAUUAGUUGUAGUUAUGUCUUCUGUUUUGCCACUAAAUUUUGUAUAUUGUUAUCAAGAAAUGAGAAGAUUGAAUAGUGUUAUUAGUGUUUGUUUCUGCUAGAUUUUCUGGUAUAUGUGUUUAUCAAGAAAUGAGAAAGAUUGAUAGUGUUAUUAGUGUUCUUGUUUUGCUUAAAUUUUGUAUAUUGUUAUCAAGAAAUGAGAAGAUUGAUAUGUGUUAUUAGUUCUUCUGUUUGCUAAAUUUUGUAUAUGUUAUCAAGAAUGAAGAUAGAUAGUGUUAUUAGUGUUCUUGUUUGCUAAAUUUGUAUAUUGUUAUCAAGAAAUGAGAAAUUAGAUUGUGUUAUUAAGUGUUUUGGUUUGUUUGCCUAAUUUUGAUAUUGUUUAUCCAAGAAAGAGAAGAUUGAUAGUGUUAUUAGUGUUCUUGUUUUGGCUAAAUUGUUGUAUAUUGCUUUGCAAGAAAUGCAAAGAGUUGAUAGUGUGUCAUUACUGUUUUUGUUUUGCUAAAUUUGUACAUAUUGUUUUCAAGAAAAUGAGAAGAUCUGAUAUGUUAUUAGUGUGUUGCUUGUUUGCUAAUUUUGUAUAUUUGUUAUCAAAAAAAUAGAGAAUUGAUAGUGGUUUAUUAGUGUUCUGUUUUGCUAAAUUUUGUAUAUUUGGUUAUAAGAAAUAGAGGAAAAAGGUUCGAUAGUGUUAUUAGUGUUCUGUUUUGCUAAAUUUUGUAUAUUCUUAUCCAAGAAAUAGAGAAGAUUGAAUAAUGUUAUAGUGUUCUUAGUUUUCUAAUUUUGGUAUAUUUUUGGGUUUUUAUCAAGCACCCAAAUGCCGAAGAUUGAAUCAGUGUUAUUAGUGUUUUGGUUUAUGCUAAAUUUUUGUAUAAUUGGUCUGAUCCAAAGAAACAUGAGAAGAUGAUAAUGUUAUUUUAGUGGUUUACUUGCUUAUCGGCUAAAUUUUGUAAUUGUUAUCAGAAAUUAGAAGAUUGAAUUAGUGUUAGUUAGUUGUUAUUAGUUUUUGGCUAAAAAUUUAUUGGUUAUAUUGGGUUAAUCAAAGAAUAAUGAGAAGAAGAGGUCCGAGUAGUUGAUGUAGCUAGUAGUUAGUCUUGUUUAUGCUAGAAAUAAUUUGUAUCUUGUUAUCUAAGAAAGAUUAGAAGAAUGGAAUAGUGUUAUAGGUGUUCUUAGGUUUGACUAAUGUGUAUACUUUUUGUGUCAAGAAGACGAAAGGAAGAAUGAUAGUGUUAUUGUAGUGUUUUUAUUUUGCUAAACUUAUUGCUAUAAUUCGUUAUCACAAUAAUGAGAAAGAAUGGGAUUAAGUAGGUUAUUGAGUGUUCUUCUGUUUUGCUAUCAAUUUUGUAAUAGUUGUUAUCAAAGAAAAUGAGAAGAUUAGUGUCUUCGUUAAUAUAUGUUUAUUGCAGUUUUGCUACCAUUUGUAUGAUUUUGAUUCAAGAAAUGAGAAGAAAAUCUGAAUAAUUGUUGAAAUUGAGUGUUCUUUCUUGUUAAUGCUAAAUUUUGUAAUAUAGUCUAGUCAAGAAAAUAUGAAGAUAGAUAGUGGUUAUAGUUGUUGCUGUUUAGCUAAAUUUUGUAUAUUGUUAUCAGAAAUGGAGAAGAGUCGAUUGUGUUAUAAGUGUUCUUGUUUUGCUAAUUUGGAAUAUAUUUUUGGUUUGCCCAAGUAAAGGAGAAAGAUGGAUAGGUGGUUAUUGUAUGUUCUUGUUUUGCUAAAUUGUGUUAUUGGUUGUCAGAAAAUGAAAAAGAUUGCGAGAUAGUGUUAUUAGUGUUUUUGCUUUUGCUAGAUUUGAGUAUUAAUUGUUUCUAAUGCUGAAAUGAGAAGUUUGCACAUUGAAUAGUGUUAUUCAGAUGUUCGUAUUGCUAACAUUUUUAAUAUUGUUAUACGAAAGAACAUGAAGAAUAGUUGAUAGUGUGUUUUAUGCUGCUUAGGUUGUUGUCUAGUUUUGUAAUAUUGUUUACUCAGAAUGAGAAGGUGCAAGUUGUAAUUAUGUUGCUUGUUUGCUAAAUUUUGUAUAUUGCAUUAUCAGAAGAAAAUGAGAAGAUUGAUAGUGUUAUUAGUGUUCUGGUUUUCUAAUUAUGUGUAUAUCUAGUUAGAAGGAAAGAAUAGAUUGAUAGGUUGUUAAUUAGUGGCUUCUUGUUUUGACGUAAAUUUUAGGGGAUAUUUGUUGUCAAAGAAAUGUAAGAAGAUGGAUAGAUGUUAUGUAGUGGUUCUUGUUACUGCUAAAUGAUGUUGUAUAUAGUUGUAUCCAAAGAAAAUGAGAGAGAUUGACUAGUGUUAUUUGAGUGUGUCUUGUUUUGCCUAAAUUUUUGUAUAAUGUAGUUAUGGAAGAAAUGGAGAAAGGUCGAUAGUGUUCAUUAGUGUUCGUUAGUUUGCCUAAGAUUUUAUAUAUUAGGUAUCAAAAGAAAUCGAGAAGAUUGAUAGUGCUUAAUUAGAUGUUCUGUGUUAUAUGCUGCCUAAAUUGUGUUAUUUUUGUCAUAAGAAACUGAGAAGAUUGAUAGUGGUUAUAUUGAGGGUGUUGUUUAAGUAUUGCUAAAUUUGUAUAUGUGUUAUGCAAGAAAUGAGACAGAUUAGAUAGUGCUUUGUUAGUGUUCUUGUUUUGCCCUAUACUUUGUUGGGUAUAUGUGUCUUAGUCAAAGAUAAUGAGAAGAUUGAUAGUGUUUUUUACUCGUUGUCUGUCUGAUUUGGCCCGCCUAUACUUUUGUAUAAUUCUUAUCAGAAAUAUGAGAAGAUUGAAUAGGUGUUAUUAGUGUUCUGUGUUUUGGCCGUAUAUUUUGUAUAUUCUUAAUCAACGAAAUGAGCAUAGAUUGAUGUAGUUUUUAGUGUUCUAUGGUUUUUGCCCCUAAAUUUUGUAUAUGUUGAUACAAGAAAUGAGAAGAUUGUAUAGUUAUUAGUGUUCCUAUGUUUUAUGCCUAAUUUUUGUAUUAGUUAUCAAGAAAUAUGAAGAUAGAUAGUGUUAUUAGUGUUCUUGGUUUAGACUAAUUUGUAAUAUUGUUAAUAAGAAAUGAGAAGAUAUUCCGAUUGUUUAUUAGUGUUCUUGUUUUGCCUAAUCUGUUGCAGAUAUUGGUUGUGCUCGAAUAUGGUGGCAAGACAAGGAGAAGAUGAUCGGUUUAUUAGUGUUCUUGUUUUUGCUAAAGUGUGUAUAUUUGGAUGUCCAAGUAAAUGACGAAGAUUAUAGUCGUUAUUAAAGUGUAUUUGUUUUGCAUAAAUGUUGUAAAUAUUGUAUCAAGACAGUGGAGAAGAUUGGAUAUGUGUUAUUAGUGUUACUUCGUGUUUUUCUAUACAGAUUUUGUAUAUGUGUGUAUCAAGAAUGACAAAAUUAGAUAGUGUUUUCUAGUAUUGUUCUUGUUUUACUGAGCCCUAAAUUUUGUAUAAUUGUUCAGUAGAAAUAGAAGGUCGAUAGGUCGUUAUUAGUGAUUCUUGUUUUUCGGCUGAUAGAAAUGUUGUAUAUUCUUAUCGAAGAAAUGAGAAGAUGAUAGUGUUAUUGUGUUCUUGGUUUGGCUAAUUUGUAAUAUUGUUGUAUGCAAGUACCAUGAGAAAGGAUUGAAUAGUCGUUAUUAGUGUCCUCUUAGUCUUUGGCUAAAUUUUUGUAUACUUGCUGUCCAAGAAUGAAGAAGAUUGAUAAUAUUAUUAGUCGUUCUUGGUAUGCUAAUAAAUUUUGUAUAUUGUUAUGCAAAGAAAAUGAGGAUGAUUCGAUAUGCGUUAUUAGUGUUUCUGUUUUGCCUAUAAUUUUGUAUAUGUUAUCAAAGAAAGAUGAGUAAGAGCGUCGAGUAUGUAGCUGAUUAGGUUCUUGGUUUUUGCUAAAAUUUUGGUAAUAUUGUUAUCAAGAAAUGAGAAGAGUUGAUAGUGUUAUUAGUGGUUUAAUUGUUUUGCCUAAUAAGGUUGUGUGAUGAUUUUUGUCAAAGAAAUGAGAAGAUUGGAUAAGUGUUAUUAGUGCUUUUUAUUUUUGCUAAAAUUUUGUAUAUUGUUAUCGGUAAGAAAGGAAGAAGCGGAUUGGGAUAGUGUGUUUUUAGUGGUUCUUUUGUUUUGCUAAAUUGUAUGAUUGUUAUCAAGAAAUGAAGAAGUAUUGAUAGGUUGUAUCAUUAGUGUUCUUGUUUUGGCUAUUUUGUAUAUGUUAUCAAAGAAUGAGAAGAUUGAUAUUGUUAUAUAGUGUUCUUUGUUUUGCUAUAUUUUGUAAUAUUGUUAUCAAGAAAUGAGGAGAUGAUGUGCUAUGAUGUUUUGCUAAAUUUGUAUCAUUGUUAUCAGAAGGAGGAUUGUAGUAAGUUAACUUAGCUGUCUUCAUUUGUGCUAAAUAAGUUGUUAAUCAAGAUAGUGCAGAAGAUUGGAUACGUGUUUUUAGUGUUCUUGUUCUUGCUAUUUUGUAUAUUGUUUCGAAAGGAUGAGAAGAUCGUAGUGUUAUUAGUGUUCUAUGUUUGCCUAUAAUUUUGUUAUUUGUUAUCAAGAAUGAGAAGAUUGAUAGGUAGUGAUUCUUGUUUUCUAAUUUUAGUUAUUGUUCUCAAGAAAUGAGUUGAGGGUUAUGCUUCGUUUGACUAAUUUUGUAUAUGUUAAGAAAAGUGAGAAGGAUUGACUAAUGUUAGUUGAGUUGUUUUGAUUUUGCUAAAUUUGUAGAUGUUAUCAAUAACGAUGAGAAGAGCACUUGAUAGGUAGGUUAUUAUUAGUGUUCUGUCGUUUCGAACUAUAAUUUAUUGUAUAAUUGUUAUCAAGAAAAUGAGAAGAUUAGAAUAGUGUUAAUGAAAAAGUUUGUCGUUUUGGCUAAUUUUGUAUUUCUUAUCAAGAAAUGAGAAGAUUGAUAGUGUGUAUUAGUGUUCUUUUUGACUAAUGUUUGUUAAUUGCUUAUCAAGAAAUGAGAAGAUUGAUAGUGUUAUUAGUGUUCUUGUUUUUGGCUCUAAAUUUUUGAGUAUAUUGUGAUCAAGAAUGAGAUAGUUGUAUGUUAUUAUGUUCUUGUUUAUGCUAAGUUUUGUAUAUUAGUUAUUUCAAGAAUGAUGAAGAUUGAUAGUGUAUUAGUCGUUCCUCUGUAUUGCUAAAAUUAUUGUAUAUUGUAUCAAGAAAUGAGAAGAUUCGAUUGGUGUGUAUUAGUGUUCUUGGUUUUGCUAAGUUUUUGUAUAUUGUUACAAGAAAAGGAGAAGAUGUGAUAGUGUUAUUGUGUUCAUUGUUUUGCCUAAAUUGUGUAUAUUGUUUUCAAGACAAUGAGCAAGAUGAUAUUAUUUCAUUGAGUUGCUUAUUUUAUAUGCUUUCGAAUGAGAAAUUAUGUGGUAUUAGUUUCGUUAUCAAGAAAUGACUAGACUAGGAAAUUUUCAAAGUGAACAUGGCUAUUAGUGUUCUGUUGGCUAUUAUUGUAAUAAGGAAUGUAGUAUCAAACAGCGAAAUAUGAGACAGUAUUGAAUGUUUUGAUGGCUUUUAGCACGGAUCUUUUCGUACUGCACUAAAUUUUGUCAGUUCGUUUAGUUAUCUGUUUCAAUUAGCGAGUGUAUUCCGAAUUUUAUCAGGAUGAAUGAUAGUGUAUUAGUGAUCUUGUUUUGGCUAAAUUUUGUGUAUAUUGUAUCAAUGAAUGAAAGGAUUGAUAGGGUUUAUGUGAGUCUGUUCUUGUUUUGCCUAAUACUAUGUAUAUUGUUAUCAAGAAAAUGAGAAGAUUGAUAGAUGUUAUUAGUGUUCUGUUUUGCUAAAUUUGUAUAUUGUUAUCAAGAAAUGAGAGGAUUGGAUUGUUGAUUAGUGUUCUUGUUGAUGCCUAAAAUUUUUGUAUAUUGUUAUACAAGAAAUGAGAAGAUUGAUAGUGUGAAUUAGUGUUUGCUCUGGUUUUGCUAAAUUUUGUAUAUUGUUAUCAAGAAGAUGAGAAGAUGUGAUAGGGUUUAUUAGUGUUCUUGUUUUGCCUAAAUUUUGAUUAGGUCACUUGUUAUCAAAAUAGAACAUGAGUAAGAUUGAUAGUUGAUGAUUAGUGUUCACGUGGGGUUUGUGCGUAAAUUGAUGGUAAUUUUUUGUUCAUAGAAAUGAGAAUGAUUGAUGUGUUUAUUAAGUGUUUUAUUUUUGACUAAAUUUAUGGUAGAUAUAUGUUUAUUCGAAGAAAUGUGGAGAGAUUGAUAGUGUUUUUAGGUGUUCCUGUUUUGCUAUAGUUUUUGUAUAUUGUUAUCAAGAAAAUAGAAGAUUGAUAGUGUUAUUAGUGUUCUUGUUGUUGCUUUAUUCUUGUAUAUUCUUAUCAAGAAAUGAGAAGAAUUGAUAUGUUUAUUAGUGUUCUUCGUUUUGCUAUAUUUUUGUAAUAUUCUAUAUCAAGAAAUGAGAAAAGAUUGAUAGUGUUAUAGUGUUCUUGUUUUGCCUAAAUUUUGUAUAGUUGGUUGUCAAGAAAUGAGCAAGAGUUGAUAAUGUUUAUCGUGGGGGUACCGUUUUGGAGUUCAUGGUGAGGUCUGGAAGGAGCGACUAAGGGCACCCGAUGUCAGAACACUAACAAGUGGCGUGAUAGGGUGUUUACUUAAAGGCAGAUCGCGUGGAAGACUAGAAUGUGGCGUGUCAUGCAGCAUUGGUGCUUGGUAUAACUAGUAGCCAGCUCAGUAUAUAAAGAAUUUUUGUGUGAGUAUAGCUAUGUAUACCUCCGGAGGAAGAGGAAAAGGAAGGAAUGUUGUGGAUCGAGAGUUCUAUGUUGGUAUAAGGUUGAGUGUUUCCUUGUUUUGCUCAGAUUUUGCGUAUAGUAGUUUAACCCUCCCGCCGGCACGUAAGUUGAAGAGAGAAGGAUGGGACUGAUGUGUAUCGGUAGUGUGUACUUUGAUUUUGAGGCUAAACUUGAGUGUAUACGGUUAGUUAUUUGUGUCGAAAAGAGGCGAGAGGAUCGGAAUGUUGGUGUUCAUUAGUCGUUUUUUCUGGUAUUUUGCAGAUUUGUAUAUUGUUAUCAAAGAAUGAGAAGAUUGAUAAGUGUUAUAGUGUUCUGUUUGCUAAAUUUUUGUAUAUUGUUAUCAAGAAAAUGAGACGAUGUAGUGUUAUUUAGUGUUCUUGUUUUUGCUACACAUUUUGUAUAUUGUUAUUCAAAAUGAGAAGUGUGAUAGUGUUACUAGUGUUCUUGUUUUGCAAUUUUGUAUAUUUUAUCCAAGAUAAUGAGAAAGAUGAUAGUGUUAUGUUUAUUAGUGUUCUGUGUUUGCUAAUAUUUUGUAUAAUUGUGUUAUCCAAGAAUGAGAAAGAUUGAUAGUGUUAUUAGUGUUUUUUGUUUUUGCUACAAAUUUGUAUAUUGUUUAGAGAAAUGAGAAGAUUUUGAUAAAGUCUUAUUAAGUGUUCUUGUUAUGCUAAAUGCUUUGGCUGAUAUUGUUAUCAAGAAAUGAGAAGAUUGUAGUGUUUUAGUGUUCUUGUUUUGCUAAAUUUUGUUAUUAGUAUCAAGAAAUGAAGAAGUGAUAGUGUUAUUAGUGUUCGCUUGUAUUUUGCUAAUUGUUGUAAGUAUUGUUAUCAAGAAAUGAGAAGAUUGAUAGUGUUAUUAGUGUUUCUUGUUUUGCUAAAUUUUGUAUAUUGUUUCAAGAAAUGAGAAGGCGAUAGUGUUAUUAGUGUUCUUGUUUGCUAUAUUUUGUAUAUUAUCUUAUUCCAAGAAAUCGAGAAGAUUGAUAGUGUUAUUAGUGUUCUUGUUUUGCAUAAUAUUUGUAUAAUUGUUAUCAAGAAAUGAGAAGAUUGAUAGUGUUUAUUAGUGUUCUUGUUUUGCUAAAGUUUGUAUAUUGUUAUCAAGAAAUGAGAAGUUGAUAGUUUCUAUAGUGUUCUUGUUUUGCAAAUUUUGUAUUUUUAUCAAAAUGUAGAAGAUUGAUGAGUGUUUCUUAAGUGUUCUUGUUUUGCUAAAAUUUGUAAUUUGUUUCAAGGAAAUGAGAAGAUUGAUAGUGUUAUUAUGUGUUUUUGUUUUGCUAAAUUUUGUAUAUUGGUUAUCAAAGAAAUGUGAGAAGAAUUGGAUUGAGUGUUAUUAGUGUUCUUGUUUUUGCUCGAAAUUUUAUGUAAUUCGUUAUACCGAGAAGAGAAAUGAGAAGAUCUGGAUAAGUGGUUAUUUAGUGGUUCCCUUGUUUUGCUGAAAUUUUGUAUAUUGUUUAUCACUCGAGCAAGAAAUGAGAAGAUUGAUAUGUUAUUAGGUGUUUUCUUUGUUUUGGACUGUAAAUUUUGUAUAUUGCUAUCUCAAAAUAGAGAAGAUCGAAUAGUGUUAUUAGGGUUCUUGUUUUGCUAAAUUCUUGUCAUUGUUAUCCAAGAAUAUAGAGUUAUGUGUAAGUUGAUAUCAGUUUAUCAAGAAAUAGGAGAUUGAUAGUGUUAUUAGUGUUCUUGUUUUGCUAAAUUUUGUAUAUUGUUAUCAAGAAAUGAGAGAUUGAUAGUGUUUAGUGUCUUUUUUGUAAAUUUUGUAUAUUGUUAUCAAGAAAUGAGAAGAUUGAUAGUGUAAUUAAGUGUUCUUGUUUUGUUAAAUUUUUGGUAUAUGUUAUCAAGAAAUAGAAGAUGAUAGUGGUUAUUAGUGUUCUUUUGCUAAAUUUUGUAUAUUGUUAUAAGAAAUGAGAAUGAUGUGUUAUUAGUGUUCUUUGUUUUGCUAAAUUUUGUAUAUUGUUUCAAGAAAGGAGAAGAUGGAUAGUGUUAUUAGUGUUCUUGUUUUGCUAAAUUUGUAUAUUGUUACAAGAAAUGAGAAGAUUGAUAGUGUUAUUAGUGUUUUGUUUUGCUAAAUUUUGUAUAUUGUUAUCAAGAAAUGAGAAGAUUGAUAGUGUUUAUUAGUGUUCUUGUUUUGCUAAAUUUUGUAUAUUGUUAUUCAAGAAAUGAGAAGAUUGAUAGUGUUUUAGUGUUCUUGUUUUGCUGAAAUUUUGUAUAUUGUUUCAAGAAAUGGAAGAGGUGAUAGUGUUAUUGUGUUCUUGUUUUGCUAAAUUUUUAUAUUCUUAUCAAGAAAUGAGAAGAUUGGAUAGUGUUAUUAGUGUUCUUGUUUUGCUAAUUUUGUAUAUUGUUAUCAAGAAAUGAGAGAUUGAUAGUGUUAUUAGUGUUUUGUUUGCUAAAAUUUUGUAUAUUGUUUCAAGAAAUGAAGAUGAUAGUGUUAUUAGUGUUCUUGUGUUUGCUAAAUUGUAUAUUGUAUCAAGAAUGAGAAGAUUGAUAGGUUUUUAGUGUUCUUGUUUUGCAUAAAUUUGUAUAUUUGUUAUCAAGAAUGAGAAGAUUGAUAGUGUUAUUAGUGUUUUGUUUUGCUAAAUUUUGUAUAUUGUUACAAGAAAUGAGAAGAUUGAUUGAUUAUUAGUGUUUGUUUUGCUAAAUUUUUGUAUAUUUUAUCAAGAAAUGAGAAGAUUGAUAGUGUUAUUAGUGUUCUUGUUUUGCUAAAUUUUGUAUAUUGUUAUCAAGAAAUGAGAGAUUGAUAGUGUUAUUUAGUGUUCUUGUUUUGCUAAAUUUUGUAUAUUGUUAUCAAGAAAUGAGAAGUGAUAGUGUUAUUAGUGUUCUUGUUUUGCUAAAUUUUGUAUAUUGUUAUCAAGAAAUAGAAGAUUGAUAGUGUUAUUAGUGUUUUGUUUUGCUUUCAUUUGUAUAUUGUUAUCAGAGAAUAUGAAGAUGAUAGUGGUUAUUAGUGUUCUUGUUUGCUAAUUUUGUAUAUUGUUAUAAAGAAAUGAGAAGAUGAUUGUUGUUAUUAUGUCUUGUUUUGGCUAAAUUUUGUAUUAUUGUUCAAAGAAAGGAGAAGAUGAUAGUGGUUAUAGUGUUCUUGUUUUGCUAAAUUUAGUAUAUUGUUAUCAAGAAAGAGAAGAUUGAUAGUUUAUAUAGUGUUUUUGUUUUGCUAAAUUUUGUAUAUUGUUAUCAAGAAAUGAGAAGAUUGAUAGUGUUAUUAGUGUUCUUGUUUUGCUAAAUUUUGUAUAUUGUUAUCAAAAUGAGAAGAUUGAUAGUGUUUUAGUGUUCUUGUUUUGCUAAAUUUUGUAUAUUGUUAUCAAGAAAUGAGAAGUGAUAGUGUUAUUAGUGUUCUUUUUUGCUAAAUUUUUAUAUUUUAUCAAGAAAUGAGAAGAUUGAUAGUGUUAUUUAGUGUUCUUGUUUUGCUAAUUUUGUAUAUUGUUAUCAAGAAAUGAGAAGAUUGAUAGUGUUAUUAGUGUUUGUUUUGCUAAAUUUUGUAUAUUGUUUCAAAGAAAUGAGAAGAUUGAUAUGUUAUUAGUGUUCUUGUUUGCAAAUUUUAGUAUAUUGUUAUCAAGAAAUUAGAAGAUUGAUAGUGUUAUUAGUGUUCUUGUUUUUGCUAAAGUUUUGUAUAUUGUUAUCAAGGAAUGCGAGAAGCAUCGAUAGUGUUUAUUAGUGUUUGCUUGUUUUCUAAAUUUUGUAUAUUGUUUAUCCCAAGGAAAUGACGGAAAGCUCGAUAGUGUAUUAAGUGUUCUUGUUUUGCUGUUAUUUGUAUAGGUUCCUUAUCAACUGAAUGAGAAGAUUAGAUAGUGGUUAUUAGAGUGUUCUUGUCUUCUGACUAUUUUUGGUAUAUUGUUAUCAAUAGAAAUGAGAAGCUUGGAUAAGAUGUAUUAAUAGUGUCUGUUUGCGCUAUAUUUUGUAUAUUUGCUUAUCUAAAGAAUGAAGAAGAUUGUAGUGUGUAGUUAGUAGUUCUUUGUUUUGCUAACACUUUUGUAUCAGUUGCUUUAUCGAAGUAAAUGAGAAGAUAUUAAUAGUCGUUUUUAGUGUUCUUGUAUUUUGCUAAAUGGUGUAUAUUGUUGUCAGUGAAUGCGAGAAAGAUAUUGAAUAGUUGUGAUUAGUAGUUUUUGUUUUGCCUAAAUUAGUUGUAUAUUGGUUAUCCAAGAACUGAGAUUAGAUUGAUUUAGAGGUACGUAUUAAAGUAGUCUAGUUUUGCGUCUAAAUUUGUAUUAUAUGUUAUCAAGAAUGAGAAUGGAUUGCUAAGUGGUUUAUUAGUGGUUCUUGCUUUUAGCUAAAAUUAUUGUAUAUGUAGUUAUCAAGAGAAAUGAGAAAGAAUGAAUAGUGUUAUUAGUGUUCUGUGUUUUGCUAAUUUGUAUUAGGUUGUUAUCAAGAAAUGAGAGGUCGCGUAAGUGUUUUAUUACGUGGGUUGCUUGUUUGUCUAAAUUUGUGUAUAUUCCUUUAUCACAGUAUGUGUGUAUUGAGUUUGAGGUGUCGUUACUUCAGUUUUUGUCACACUAUUUUGAUAUGAUUCUAUCAAAGAAAAUGAGAAGAUUGAUGAGUGUAUCAUUAGUGUUCUGUGUUUGUUGCAUAAAUUUUGUUAUUGUAUUAUCAUAAGAAAAUGAAAGAUUUGAUAGUGUUUAUUAGUGUCGCUUUGUUUUUGCUAAAUUUGUAUAUUGUUAUCUAUAUAUAUAAGCGUAAAUACAGGAAGAGUUGAUACGUAGUAGUAGAUGUUAGUGUUCUUGUUUUGCUAAUUUUGUAAUAUUGUUAUCAAGAAUGAAGUAAGGUCGAUAGUGUUAUUAGUGUUCUUGUUUUGGCUAAAUUUGUAAUAUUCUUAUCAACGAAAUCGAGAAGAUUGAUAGUGUUAUAGUGUUUCUUGUUUUGCUUAAUUUUGUAUAUUCUUAUCAAGAAAUAGAAGAUUGAUAGUGUUUAUAUUAGUGGGUUUCUUGGUUUUGCUAAUUUUGUAUAUUGUUGUCCAAGCAAUGAGAAGAUUGAUACUGUUUAUUAGUGUCUUGUUAUGCUAAAAUUUUGUAUAGUUAUCAAAAGAAAUGAAGAAAGAUUGAUAGUGUUAUUAGUGUUCCUUGUUUGCUAAUUUGUAUAUUGUUAUCAAGAAAUGAGAAGAUCGAUUGGUUUUAAGUGUUCUUGUUUUGCUAAUUUGUAAAAUAUUGUUGCCAAGAAAGGAGAAGAUGAUAGUGUUUACUUAGUGUUCUUGUUUUGCUAAAUUGUGUAUAUUGUUUGUCAAGAAUGAGAAGCUUGAAUAGUGUAUUAGUGUUUUGUUUUGCUAAAUUUUGUAUAUUGUUCAUCAAGAAAUGAGAAGAUGUAAUAGUGUUAUUAGAUGUUCUUUGUUUUGCUAAAUUUUGUAUAUGUAUCAAAAAUGAGAAGAUUGAUAGUGUUUAUUCGUGUUUCUUUGUUUUGCUAAAUUUUGUAUAUUGUUAUCCAGAAAUGCGAAGAUUGGAUAGUGUUUUUAGUGUUAUUGUUUUGCUAAAUUUUGUAUAUAUGUUUAUCAAGAAAUGAGUAGGUCGAUAGUGUUAUUAGUGUUUCUUGUUUUGCUAAAUUUGUAUAUUCUUAUCAAGAAAUGAGAAGAUUGAUAGUGGUUAUUAAGUGUUCUUGUUUUGCUAUAUUUGUAUAUUGGUUUAUCAAGAAAUGAGAAGAUUGAUAGUGUUAUUGUGUUAUUGUUUUGCUUAAAUUUUGUAAUUGUUGUCCAGAAUGAGAAAGAUUGGAAUAAUGUUAUUAUGUUCUUGUUAUGCCUAAAUUUUGAUAUUGUUAUCAGAUAUACGAGAAGAUUGAUAGUGUUUUUUAGUGUUCUGUUUUGCUAAAUGUGUAUAUUGUUAGUCAGGAUGAGAAGAUUGAUAGUGGUUAUUAGUGUUUUUGUUGCUAAAAUUUUGUAUAUUGUUAUCAAGAAAUGAGAAGAUUGAUUGAUUUAUUGUGUUCUUGUUUGCUAAAUUUUGUAUAUUGUUUAUCAAGAAAUGAGAAGAUUGAUAGUGUUAUUAGUGUUCUGUUUUGCUAAAUUUGUAUAUUGUUAUCAGAAAUGAGAAGAUUGAUAGUGUUAUAGGUGUUCUUGUUUUGCUAAAUUUUGUUAUUGUUAUCAAGAAAUGAGAAAGGUCGAUAGGUUUUAUUAGAGUGUUCUUGUUUUGCUANNNNUAUUUGUUAUCAAGAAUGAGAAGAUUGAUAGUGUUAUUAGUGUUCUUGUUUUGCUAAAUUUUGUAUAUUGUUAUCAAGAAAUGAGAAGAUUGAUAGUGUGAUUAGUGUUCUUGUUUUGCUAAAUUUUGUAUAUUGUUAUCAAGAAUGAGAAGAUUGAUAGUGUUAUUAGUGUUCUUGUUUUGCUAAAUUUUGUAUAUUGUUAUCAAGAAAUGAGAAGAUUGAUAGUGUUAUUAGUGUUCUUUGUUUUGCUAAAUUUUUUAUAUUGUUAUCAAGAAAUGAGAAGAUUGAUAGUGUUAUUAGUGUUCUUGUUUGCUAAAUUUUGUAUAUUGUUAUCAAGAAAUGAGAAGAUUGAUAGUGUUUUUGUGUUUUGUUUUGCUAAAUUUUGUAUAUUGUUAUCAAGAAAUGAGAAGUUGAUAGUGUUAUUAGUGUUCUUGUUUUGCUAAAUUUUGUAUAUUGUUAUCAGAAAUAGGAAGUUGAUAGUGUUAUUAGUGUUCUUGUUAUCAAGAAACGUUUGACGCUGACCCUUUAGCAAAAUCUCUCAAAAAUGAAAGGCAUUGCCAUGGGGAAUUCUCCAUGGCUUCUUUCAGUCAAAUAAGGAAUGGAAGAUCACAACCAAGUCGAUGUAAGCCAUGACGCACUGUUCGUUUGAUAUUUAUGAUGGCUUCAAAAGGCCACACCACUGCUUCUAUAUCCGUACCACAUUUUAGGACUCUAUUAUGUGAGUUAUUUCUUUGCUUCUUUUUUCUUAGCAUCUUACGUAUAUGUUAUCAAGAAAUGAGAGAUUGAUAGUGUUAUUAGUGUUCUUGUUUGCUAAAUUUUGUAUAUUGUUAUCAAGAAAUGAGAAGAUUGAUAGUGUUAUUAGUGUUUUGUUUAAAUUUUGUAUAUUGUUAUCAAAAUGAGAAGAUUGAUAGUGUAUGUGUCUGUUUGCUAAAUUUUUAUAUUGUUAUCAAGAAAGAGAAGAUUAUAGUGUUAUUAGUGUUCUUUUUUUGCUAAUUUGUAUAUUGUUAUCAAGAAAUGAGAAGAUUGAUAGUGUUAUUAGUGUUCUUGUUUUGCUAAUUUGAUAUUGUUAUCAAGAAAUGGAAGAUUGAUAGUGUUUAUUGUCUUCUUGUUUUGCUAAAUUUUGUAUAUUGUUAUCAAGAAAGUAGAAAGAUUGAUAGUGUUAUUAGUGUUCUUGUUUUGCUAAAUUUGUAUAUUGUUAUCAAGAAAUGAGAAGAUGAUAGUGUUAUUAGUGUUCUUGUUUUGCUAAAUUUAUAUUGUUAUCAAGAAAUGAGAAGAUUGAUAGUGUUAUUAUGUUCUUGUUUUGAUAAUUUUGUAUAUUGUUAUCAAGAAAGAGAAGAUGAUAGUGUUAUUAGUGUUCUUGUUUUGCUAAAUUUUGUAUAUGUUAUCAAGAAUGAGAAGAUUGAUAGGGUUAUUAGUUUCUUGUUUGCUAAAUUUUGUAAAUUGUUAUCAAGAAAUGAGAAGAUUGAUGUGUUAUUAGUGUUCUGUUUUGCAAAUUUUGUAUAUUGUUAUCAAGAAAUGAGAAGGUUGAUAGUGUUAUUAGUGUUCUUGUUUUGCUAAAUUUUUAUUGUUAUCAAGAAAUGAGAAGAUUGAUAGUGUUAUUAGUGUUCUUAUCAAGAAACGUUUGACGCUGACCCUUUAGCAAAAUCUCUCAAAAUGAAAGGCAUGCCAUGGGGAAUUCUCCAUGGCUUCUUUCAGUCAAAAAGGAUAUGGAAGAUCACACAAGUCGAUGUAAGCCAUGACCACUGUUCGUUUGAAUUUAUGAUGGUUUUCAAAGGCCACACCAUUGCUCUUCCUAUAUUCGUACGCCAUCUUUAGGACUCUAUUAUGUGGUUAUUUCUUGCUUUUUUUCUUUAGCAUACAAUCUUAUAUUGUUAUAGAAAAAAGAAAGAUUGAUAGUGUUAUUAGUGUUCUUGUUUUCUAAAUUUUGUAUAUUGUUAUCAAGAAAUGAGAAGAUUGAUAGUGUUAUUAGUGUUCUUUUGUAAAUUUUGUAUAUUGUUAUCAAGAAAUGAGAAGAUUGAUAGUGUAUUAGUGUUCUUGUUUUGCUAAAUUUGUAUAUUGUUAUCAAGAAAGAGAAAUUGAUAGUGUUAUUAGUGUUCUUGUUUUGCUAAAUUUUGUAUAUUGUUAUCAAGAAUGAGAAGAUUGAUAGUGUUAUUAGUGUUCUUGUUUGUCUAAAUUUUGUAAUUGUUAUCAAGAAAUGAGAAGAUUGAUAGUGUUAUUAGUGUUCUUGUUUUGCUAAAUUUUGUAUUUGUUAUCAAGAAAUGAGAAGGUUGAUAGUGUUAUUAGUGUUCUUGUUUUGCUAUUUUGUAUAUUGUUAUCAAGAAAUGAGAAGAUUGAUAGUGUUAUUAGUGUUCUUAUCAAGAAACGUUUGACGCUGACCCUUUGAAAUCUCUCAAAAAUGAAAGGCAUUGCCAUGGGAAUUCUCCAUGGCUUUCUGUUCAGUCAAAAGGAUAUGGAAGAUCACAACCAAGUCGAUGUAAGCAUGACCCUGUUUUCGUUUAUUUAUGAUGGUUCAAAGGCACACCAGCUUCUAUAUUCGUACGCACAUCUUUAGGAUUAUUAGUGAGUUAUUUCUUUGCUUCUUUUUCUUAGCAUACUAAUCUGUAUAUUGUAUCAGAAAAAGAAGAUUGAUAGUGUUAUUAGUGUUUUGUUUUUCUAAAUUUUGUAUAUUGUUAUCAAGAAAUGAGAAGAUUGAUAGUGUUAUUAGUGUUCUUUUUUGCUAAAUUUUGUAUAUUGUUAUCAAGAAAUGAGAAGAUUGAUAGUGUAUUUAGUGUUCUUGUUUUGCUAAAUUUUGUAUAUUGUUAUCAAGAAAUGAGAAGAUUGAUAGUGUUAUUAGUGUUCUUGUUUUGCUAAAUUUUGUAUAUUGUUAUCAAGAAAUGAGAAGAUUGAUAGUGUUAUUAGUGUUCUUGUUUUGCUAAAUUUUAUAUUGAUACAAGAAAUGAGAAGAUUGAUAGUGUUAUUAGUGUUCUUGUUGCUAAAUUUUGUAUAUUGUUCAAGAAAUGAGAAGAUUGAUAGUGUUAUUAGUGUUUUGUUUUGCUAAAUUUUGUAUAUGUUAUCAAGAAAUGAGAUAUGAGUGUAUUAGUGUUCUUGUUUUGCUAAAUUUGUAUAUUGUUAUCAGAAAAUGAGAAGUUGAUAGUGUUAUUAGUGUUCUGUUUUGCUUAUUUUGUAUAUUGUUAUCAAGAAAUGAGAAGAUUGAUAGUGUUUAUUAGUGUUUCUUGUUAUCAAGAAACGUUUGACCGCUGACCCUUUAGCAAAAUCUCUCAAAAAUGAAAGGCAUUGCCAUGGGGAAUUCUCCAUGGCUUCUAUUCAGUAAAAUAAGGAUAUGGAAGAUUGUUAUUAGUGUUCUUGUUUUGCAAAAUUUUGUAUAUUGUUAUCAAGAAAUGAGAAGAUUGAUAGUGUUAUUAGUGUUCUUGUUUUGCUAAAUUUUGUAUAUUGUUAUCAAGAAAUGAGAAGAUUGAGAGUGGUAUUAGUGUUCUUGUUUUGCUAAAUUUUGUAUAUUGUUAUCAAGAAAUUAGAAGUUUGAUAGUGUUAUUAGUGUUCUUGUUUUGCUAAAUUUUGUAUAAUUUUAUCAAGAAAUGAGAAGAUUGAUAGUGUUAUUAGUGUUCUUGUUUUGCUAAAUUCUAUAUAUUGUUAUCAAGAAAUGAGAAGAUUGAUAGGGUUAUUAGUAUUCAUGUUUUGCUAAAUAUUGUAUAUUGUUAUCAAGAAAUGAGUAGAUUGAUAGUGUUAUUAGUGUUCUUGUUUUGCUAAAUUUUGUAUAUUGUUAUCAAGAAAUUAGAAGAUUGAUAGUGUUAUUAGUGUUCUUGUUUUGCUAAAUUUUGUAUAUUGUUAUCAAGAAAUGUGAGAAGAUUGAUAGUGUUAUUAGUGUUUCUUGUUUUUGCUAAAUUUUGUAUAUUUUAUCAAGAAAUGAGAAGAUUGAUAGUGUUAUUAGUGUUCUUGUUUUGCUAAAUUUGUAUAUUGUUUCAAGAAAUGAGAAGAUUGAUAGUGUUUAUUAGUGUUCUGUUUGCUAAAUUUUGUAUAUGUUAUCAAGAAAUGAGAAGAUUGAUAGUGUUAUUAGUGUUCUUGUUUUGCUAAAUUUUGUAUAUUGUUAUCAAGAAUGAGAAGAUGUGUGUGUUUUAUUAGUUCUUGUUUUGCUAAUUUUGUAUUGUUCAAGAAAUGGAGAAGAUGAUAGGUGUUUAUUGUGCUUCUUUUGCUAAAUUGUAUAUUGUUUCAAAAAAUGAGAAGAUGAUAGUGUUUUAUGUGUUCUUUUUUUGCUAAAUUUUGUAUAUUGUUAUCAAGAAAUGAGAAGAUUGAUAGUGUAUUAGUGUUCUUGUUUUGCUAAAUUUGUAUAUUGUUAUCAAGAAAUGGAGAAGAUUGAUAGUGUUAUUGUAGUGUUCUUGUUUUGCUAAAUUUUGUAUAUUGUUAUAAGAAAUGAGAGAGUUGAUAGUGUUAUUAGUGUUCUUUGGUUUGCUAAAUUUUGUAUAUUUGUUAUCAAGAAAUGAGAAGUAUGAGAUAGUGUUAGUUAGUGUUCUUGUUUUGCUGAAUUUUUGUAUAUUGUUAUCAAGAAAUGAGAAGAUUGAUAGUGUUAUUAGUGGUUUUCGUUUUGCUAAAUUUUGUAUAUUGUUUCAAGAAUGAGAAGAUUGAUAUGUUAUUAGUGUUCUUGUUUGCUAAAUUUGUAUAUUGUUAUCAAGAAUGAGAAGAUUGAAUAGUGUUAUUAGUGUUCUUGUUUUGCUAAAUUUUGUAUAUUGUUUAUCAAGAAAUGAGAAGUGAUAGUGUUUAUUAGUGUUCUUGUUUUGCUAAAUUUUGUAUAUUUUAUCAAGAAUGAGAAGAUUGAUAGUGUUAUUAGUGUUCUUGUUUUGCUAAAUUUUGUAUAUUGUUAUCAAGAAUAGAAGAUUGAUAGUGUUAUUAGUGUUCUUGUUUUGCUAAAUUUUGUAUAUUGUGUCAAAGAAAUGAGAAGAUUGAUAGUGUUAUUAGUGUUCUUUGUUUGCUAAAAUUUGUAUAUUGUUAUCAAGAAAUGAGAAGAUUGAUAGUGUUAUUAGUGUUCUUGUUUUGCUAAAUUUGUAUAUUGUUUAUCAAGAAAUGAGAAGAUUGAUAGUGUUAUUAGUGUUCUUGUUUUGCUAAAUUUUGUAUAUUGUUAUCUAAGAAAUGAAGAAGAUUGAUAGUGUUAUUAGUGUUCUUGUUUUGCUAAAUUUUGUAUAUUGUUAUCAAGAAUAAUGAAGUACGAUAGUGUUAUUAGUGUUCUUGUUUUGCUAAAUUUUGUAUUAUUGUUAUCAAGAAAUGAGAGAUUGAUAGCUGUAUUAGUGUUCUUGUUUUGCUAAAUUUUGUAUAUUGUUAUCAAGAAAUGAGAAGAUUGAUAGUGUUAUUAGUGUUCUUGUUUUUUUGCUAAAUUCUAUAUAUUGUUAUCAAGAAAUGAGAAGAUUGAUAGGGUUAUUAGUAUUCAUGUUUUGCUAAAUUUUGUAUAUUGUUAUCAAGAAAUGAGAAGAUUGAUAGGGUUAUUAUUGUUCUCGUUUUGCUAAAUUUUGUAUAUUCUUAUCAAGAAAUAAGAAGAUUGAUAGUGUUGUUAGUGUUCUUGUUUUGCUAAAUUUUGUAUAUUGUUAUCAAGAAAUGAGAAGCUUGAUAGUGUUAUUAGUCGUCUUGUUUUUCUAAAUUUUGUAUAUUAUUAUCAAGAAAUGAGAAGGUUGAUAGUGUUAUUAGUGUUCUUGUUUUGCUAAAUAUUGUAUAUUGUUAUCAAGAAAUGAGAAGAUUGAUAGUCUUAUUAGUGUUCUUGUUUUGCUAAAUUAUGUAUACUGUUAUCAAGAAAUGAGAAGAUUGAUAUUGUUAUUAGUGUUCUUGUUUUGCUAAAUUUUGUAUAUUGUUAUCAAGAAAUGAGAAGAUUGAUAGUGUUAUUAGUGUUCUUGUUUUGCUAAAUUUUGUAUAUUGUUAUCAAGAAAUGAGAAGAUUGAUAGUGUUAUUUGUGUUCUUGUUUUGCUAAAUUUUGUAUAUUGUUAUCAAGAAAUGAGAAGAUUAAUAGUGUUAUUAGUGUUCUUGUUUUGCUAAAUUUUAUAUAUUGUUAUCAAGAAAUAGGAAGGUUGAUAGUGUUAAUAGUUUUCUUGUUUUGCUUAAUUUUGUAUAUUGUUGUCAAGAAAUGAGAAGAUGAUAGUGUUAUUAGUGUUCUUGUUAUCAAGAAACGUUUGAAGCUGACCCUUUAGCAAAAUCUCUCAAAAAUGAAAGGCAUUGCCAUGGGGAAUUCUCGAUGGCUUCUAUUCAGUCAAAUAAGGAUAUGGAAGAUCACAACCAAGUCGAUGUAAGUCAUGACGUGAGUUAUUUCUUUGCUUCUUUUUUCUUAGCAUACUACUCUGUAUAUUAUUAUCAAGAAAUGAGAAGAUUGAUAGUGUUAUUAGUGUUCUUGUUUUGCUAAAUUUUGUAUAUUGUUAUCAAGAAAUGAGAAGAUUGAUAUUGUUAUUAGUGUUCUUGUUUUGCUAUAUUUUGUAUAUUGUUAUAAAGAAAUGAGAAGAUUGAUAGUGUUAUUAGUGUUCUUGUUUUGCUAAAUUUUGUAUAUUGUUAUCAAGAAAUGAGAAGAUUGGUAGUGUUAUUAGUGUUCUUGUUUUGCUAAAUUNNNNNNNNNNNNNNNNNNNUGCAAGAGGAAAUUUCUUUCUCUUGAAAAAUGCAAGGCUUGCCAUGUACUGUGCGAAUCCCAUAGAGCUUCCUCCUAGUUUUCAGUCCAGAAACUCUUAAGUUGGGAUAUGGAAGAUCACAACCAAGUCGAUGUAACUCAUACGCACUGUCGUUGAUUAUGAUGGAUUCAAAGGCCACACCACUGCUUUCUAAUCCGUACGUCAACAUCUUUGAGGACGUCUAUUACGUGAGUUAUUCUUUGCUUCCCCUUUUUCUUAGCAUACUUAUCUAUAUAUUUUUUAUCAAAGGAUAAUAGUAAGAUUGAUAGUGUUAUAGUGUCGAUUGUUUUGCCUAAUUGUUGCGUAUAUGUAUCCAUACUCCAAAGAGAAGAUUGUAAUAUUAGUUAGUGUUCGUGUCUUUUGCUAAAAUUUUAUUUAUCAAGAAACGAGAGAGGAUUGAUAGUGCUGAUUUUAGUAGUUUCUUGUUUACGUAAAAUUGUAGACUUAUUUCAAGAAAUGAGAAAGAUUGAUAAAUGUUAUUAGUUUUGCUUGUUUUGCUUAAAUUUGCUGAUGUUAUCAAGAAAUAUAGAUGAUAGUGUUAUUAGUGUGCUUGUUUUUCUAAAUUUGUAUAUUUAUUCAAGAAAUGAGAAGGUUGAUAAGUAUUUAAGUUUCUUGUGUUGCUAAAUUUUUAUAUUGUUUUUAGCAAAGGAAAUUGAGAAGGUUGAUAGUGUUAUUAGUAUUCUUGUUUUGCUACAAUUUUGUUAUUGUUACUCAAGAAAUGAGAAGAUGAUAGUGUUAUUUAGUGAUUCUUGGGGUUUACAAAGGAAACGUUGACGUCUGACCUAUGCUCUCAUUAAAAUUCUCUGGGAAAAAUGAACAGCAUUGCCUAGAGAAGUUUCCAUGCUGCUCUUCAGUCAAAUAAGGGAUAUGGAAGAUUCACAACCAAGCGAGUAUAGCCAUGAGCGCUACUAAUUUCGUUGGAAAUUAUGAUGGCUUCAGAACGCCACACGCUGUCUUCCUUUUUAUCCGUGACGCACAUCUUUAGGACCUUCUAUUCGGGGAGUUAGUGUCUUUGCUUUCUUUUUUCUUAGGCUAUACUUUAUCUGUAGGUAUUGUUCAUUCCAAUAUUAAGCUAGAUUUUGAGAUAGUGUGGUUUAGUGUUCUUGUUUUGCUAAAUUAUAUAUUGUUAUCAAGUAAAUGAGAGAGUGGAUAAGUGUUAUUGGUGGUUUCUUGUUUUGCUAAAUGUGUGGUAUAUUGUAUCAAGAAAUGUAGAAGAUUUGAAGUGUUAUUUGUGUUCUUGUUGUGACUAAAUCUACUAAACAAUUUGUCUUAUUGUUAUCAAGAAGAUGAGAAGAUUGAUAGUGUUAUUAAUGUUGUGAGUUGCUAAAUUUGGCUUUUGUUACUCAAGAAAUCGAGAAAGAUUGAUAGUCGUUAUUAGUGUUCUUGUUGCUAAAUUUUGUAUAUUUUACCCAAAGAAAUGAUGAAGAUUGAUAGUUGUUAUUAGUGGUUCUUGUUUUGCUAAAUUGGUAUAUUGUUAUCAGAAAUCGAAGAAGGAUUUAUAGUGUUAUUAGUGUUCUUGUUUUGCGUUAAAUUGUAUAUUAUUAUCAAGAAAUGAGAAGGUUGAUAGUCGGGUAGUUAGUGUCUCUCUCGUUUUGCUAAAUUUUGUUAUGUUAUCAAGGAAAUGAGAAGAUUGAUAGUGUUAUUAGUGUUCUUUUAUUAUUUCAAGAAACGUUUCGAAGCUGACCCUUGAUAGCGAAAUCUCUCAAAAGAAAGCAUGCACAUAAAGGACGAAAUUCUCCAAUUGGCUUUGCUAGUCAUCAAAAAGGAAUGGAAGACACAACCAAAGUGGCUAUGUAAGUCAUGACGCACUGUUCGUUUGAAUUUAGUGUAUGGCUUCACAAGGCCACACCCCGAACGCUUCCUGAUAUUGCGGUACGGCCACAUCUUUAGGACUCUAUUACGUCGAGUUAUUUCUUUGCUUCUUUGGUUUCUUAGCAGACUAACUACUGAUCUAUUGUUAUCAAGAAAUGAGAAAAAGAUAUGAUAGUGUUAGUAGUGUCAAUGUGUUUCGCUAAAUUUUGUAUAUUGUUAUCAGAAAUGAGAAGGAGUUUCUAGUGUUCAUCUAAGCUGUUCUUGUUUUUUCUGUAAUUAGUUAUAUUGUGUAUCAAGAAAUGAGACGAUUGAUUAGUUGAUUACCGUGUUCUUAUUAUUGCCUAAAUUUUGUAUAUUGUUUCAAGAACAUAGAAGAUUGAUAAUUUAUAGUGUUUUCUCUGUUUGCUAAUUUGUAUACGUAUAUUCAAUGAAUAGGAAGGAUUGAUAGUGUUAUUAGUGUUCUUGUUUGCUAAACUUUCGUGUAUAUUGUAUAUCCAAGCAAAUGAGAAUGAUUAUAGUUGUUAUUAGUGUUCUUGUUUUGCGCUAAAUUUGUAUAUGUUAUCAAGAAAUGAGAAGAUUGAUAUGUGUUAUUAUGUUGUUCUUGUUUUGCUAAAUUACUGUAUAUUGUAUCAAAAAAUGAGAAGAUUUGAUAGCUAGUUAUUGUGUUCUUUCUCGUGUUUUGCUAAAUUUGUAUAUAUGUUAUCAAGAAAUAGGAAGUUGAUAGUGUUAUUAGCUGUUCUUGGUUUUUAUAAAUUAUUGUAUAUUUAUGUAAGAAAUGAGAAGAUUGAUAUGUUAUUAGUGUUCUUGUCUUUUUUGCUAAAUUUGAUAUUGUAUCAAGAAAUGGAGAACUGAUUGAUAGUGUUUAGUGUUUAGUCAUUGUUUUGCUAAUAUGUAUACUUUGUAUCAAGAAAUGAGAGAUUGAUAGUUGAUAGGUGUUCUUGUUUUAGCUAAUAUUGUAUAUUGUUAUCAAGAAAUGAGAAGCAUUGAUAGUGUUAUUAGUGUUCUUGCUUUUGCCUAAAUUGUAUAUUGUUAUCAAGAAAUGAGAAGAUGGAUGAUAGUGUUAUUAGUGUUCUAUUUUUUGCUAAAUUUUCGCUAUAUUGAUUAUCAAGAAAUGAGAAGAUUGAUAGUGAUUUAGUGUUCUUCUUUUGCUAAAUUUUGUUAUAUUGUUUAUUAUCAAAAAGUGAGAAGAGUGAUAGAUUAGUUGUCGUUCUUGUUUUGCUUAAUUGGUAUAUUGUUAUCAAGAAAUAGAGAAGAUUGAUUAGUGUUAUUAGUGGUUUCUUGUUUUGCUAAAUUUGUAUAUUGUGUAUCAAGAAAUUGAGAGAUUGAUAGUGUAUUAGUGUUCUGUUUUGCUAAAUUUGCGUAUAUUGUUAGCAAGAAGUGAGCAAGGAUUUACUAGUGUUAUUAGGUUUCUUGUUAUUGCUAAAUUUUUGUAUAAUUAUUAAUCAAGAGAAUCGAGAAGGUUGAUAGUGGAUUAGUGCUUUCUUUUUUGCCUUAAAUUUUGUAUAUGCUUAUCUUAAUGAGAAUGAGAAGAUUGAGUGUGAUAAGUGAUUUCUAUGUUUUGCUAAUAUUUCCGUAAUAUUUUUAUCAAGAAAUGUAGAAGAUUUGAUAGUUGUAUAGAUGCCUUCUGUGUGUGCUCUAAAUUUGUAUAUUGUUACAAGAGAGAGAACAAGAUUGAUAGUGUUAUGGUGGGGUAGUGUUCUUGUUUGCUAUAAUUUGGCUAUAUUGUUAUCAAGAAAUAGAAAUUUAGAGGUAUUAGUGUUCUCGUUUUUGCAAAUUUUGUAUAUUAUUAUCAGAAUGAGAAGGUUGAUAGUGUUAUUAGUGUUCGUGUUUUGCUAAAUUUUGUUAUUGUUAUCAAGAAAUGAGAGAAUUGAUAGUGUUAUUAGUGUGCUAUAUCAAGAAACGUUUGACGACUGACCCUUUAGCAAAAAUCUGCUCAAAAAGUUGAAAGGCCCAUUGAUAGGGAAUUCUCCAGUGGCAUUCUAUCACCCCAAAUCAAGGAUAUGAAGCAUCAAAGCAGAACCAAGUCUUAUGUAAGCUAUGACGCACUGUUCGUUUGAAAUUUAUUGAUGGUCUUCAAAGGCCACACAGACUGCUUCCUAUAUUCGUAGCACAUCUUUAGGACACCUCCUAUACGUGGAGUUAUUUUCUUUGUUCUUUUUUCUCCUUUAGCAUACUAAUAUGUAACGGUUAGCAAAGAAUAGAGAAAGAAUUGAUAGUGUUAUUAGUGUUCUUUCUGCCCUAAUUGUAAUGUGUUAGUCAGAAAUGAGAAGAUUGUAGUGUUAUAGUUGUUCUCUCUUGCUAAAUUGGUAUAUUUUAUCAGAAAUGAGAAGAUUUAUAGUGUAUCUCCUGCUCUUGUUGUGCUAAUUCUCGUAUAUUAUUAUCAUAGUAAAUGAGGAAGCGUUGAUAGUGUAUUAGUCGUUCUUGUUAUGGCAUAAAAUAUUUAUUCUCUUGUAUAUUGUAGUUCAAGAAAAUGAGAGAUUGAGUGGUUAAUAAUUGUUCUUGUUAUUGCUAAAUUUGGAUAUUGUUUCAAGAAAUGAGAAGAUUGAUAGUCGUUAUUAGUGUUCUUGUUUUGCUAAAUUUUGUAUAUUGUUUACCCAGAAGAGAGAGCAUGUUGAUAGUGUUAUUAGUGUGCCUUUGCUAUUGUAUAUUGGUAUCAAGAAAUGAGAAGAUUGUUAUAGUGUUAUUAGUGUUUCGUUUUUGCUAAAUUUGUAUGAUUAUUUAUCAAGAAAUGAGAGGUUAUGUAGUUUAUUAGAUGUUCUUGUUUUGCAAAUUUGUAUAUUGUAUCAAGAACAUGAGAAGGAUGGGAUAGUGUUAUUUAAGUGUUCUGAUUAUCAAGAAAACGUUUGACGCUUGACCCUUAGCAAAAUCCUCAAAAUAUGAAAGGCAUUUGGCCAGUCGGAAUCUCAUGGCUUCUAUUCAGUCAAAUAAGGAAUAUGGAAGAUUCAGCACACCUAAGUCUUGUCCAAGUCAUGAACGCACUGUGUCGUGUUGAAGUGAGGAGAUGGCUUCAGAAGCGCCACACACUGCUUCCUAUGAUUCGUACGCACAUCUGUGGACUCUAUUGGUACGUGAGUUAUUUCUUUGCUUCUUUUUUCUAGCAUACUAAUAUGUAUAUGUUUAUCAAGAAUGAGAAGAUGAUCAGUUGUUAUUAGUGUUCUUGUUUGCUAAAUUUUUGUAUAUUAGGUUAUCAAGAAAUGAGAAAGAUGAUAUGUAAAGAUGUUCUUGCUUUGCUAAGUUUUGUAUUUUUAUCAAGAAUGAAGACGAUUGAUAGUUGUGAUUAGUGUUCUUAUUUUGCCUCAACAUUUCGCUCCUCCUUGUUAACAGAAAAGGAUGAUUGAUGAGAUGUUAGAGUGUUCCUUGUUUUGCCUAAAUUUUGUAUAUCGUAUCAAUAAAUGAGGAAGAUUGAUAGUGUUUUAUUAGUGUUCUUGUUUGUGUAAAUUUUGUAUAUUGAUAUCAAAGAAAAUGGAGAAGAUGAUAGUGGUUAUUAGUUUCUUGUUUUGCCCUUAAUUUUGUAUAUUGUUAUCAAGAAAAUGAGAAGAAUUGAUAGUGUUAUUUGUGUUCUUGUUUUGCUAAAUUUUUAGUAUAUUGUUAUCAAAAAAUCAGAAGAUGAUAGUCGUUAUUAUGUUCUUGUUUGCUAAAUUUUGUAUAUUGUUAUCAAAGAAAAUAGAAGGUUGAUAUUAUUAGUUUUCUGUUUUGUUUAAUUUUGUAUAUUGUUUAUCAAGAAAUGAGAAGAUAAGAUUGAUAGUGUUAUUUGUGUUCUUGUUUUGCUAAAUUUUGUAUAUUGUUAUCAAGAAAUGAGAAGAUUAAUGGUGUUAUUAGUGUUCUUGUUUUGCUAAAUUUUAUAUAUUGUUAUCAAGAAAUAGGAAGUUUGAAAGUGUUAAUAGUUUUCUUGUUUUGCUAAAUAUUGUAUAUUGUUAUCAAGAAAUGAGAAGAUUGAUAGUGUUAUUAGUGUUCUUGUUUUGCUAAAUUAUGUAUAUUGUUAUCAAGAAAUGAGAAUAUUGAUAUUGUUAUUAGUGUUCUUGUUUUGAUAUAUUUUGUAUAUUGUUAUAAAGAAAUGAGAAGAUUGAUAGUGUUAUUAGUGUUCUUGUUUUGCUAAAUUUGGUAUAUUGUUAUCAAGAAAUGAGAAGAUUGGUAGUGUUAUUAGUGUUCUUGUUUUGCUAAAUUUUGUUUAUUGUUAUCAAAAAAUGAGAAGAUUGAUAGUGUUAUUAGUGUUCUUGUUUUGCUAAUAUUUGUAUAUUGUUGUCAAGAAAUUAGAAGAUUGAUAGUGUUAUUAGUGUUCUUGUUUUGCUAAAUUUUGUAUAUUGUUAUCAAGAAAUGAGAAGAUUGAUAGUGUUAUUAGUGUUCUUGUUUUUCUAAAUN
rnacentral:lncRNA from 1 species